rnacentral:rRNA from 1 species
GGUUCUCCCCGAAAGCUAUUUAGGUAGCGCCUCGUGAAUUCAUCUCCGGGGGUAGAGCACUGUUUCGGCUAGGGGGCCAUCCCGGCUUACCAACCCGAUGCAAACUGCGAAUACCGGAGAAUGUUAUCACGGGAGACACACGGCGGGUGCUAACGUCCGUCGUGAAGAGGGAAACAACCCAGACCGCCAGCUAAGGUCCCAAAGUCAUGGUUAAGUGGGAAACGAUGUGGGAAGGCCCAGACAGCCAGGAUGUUGGCUUAGAAGCAGCCAUCAUUUAAAGAAAGCGUAAUAGCUCACUGGUCGAGUCGGCCUGCGC